rnacentral:rRNA from 1 species
UACAGAGGUCUCGAGCGUUAGGCGGAAUCACUGGGCUUAAAGCGUGUGUAGGCGGAUCGUUAAGUGCCUUGUGAAAUCCCACGGCUCAACCGUGGAACUGCUUGGCAUACUGGCGGUCUUGAGCAACCUAGGGGCGAGCGGAACAAAUGGUGGAGCGGUGAAAUGCGUAGAUAUCAUUGGAACGCCAAUGGUGAAAACAGGCUCGCUGGGGGUUUGCUGACGCUGAGGACACGAAAAGCCAGGGGAGCAAACGGG